UAACACUGACAUUUUACAUGUGUAUAAAUUGUAUUUAUUUGUUUUGAUGUGUUAUUUUCGUUUUUCGAUUGAAACAAAUUGUGCGCAAAUUAAAUGAAAAGAAAUGUAGAAGAAUAAAGCUUCAGUGAAAAAGCACAUUUCAUAUUCAGUGCUGACGUCAAGUUCAAUCCAGUUUAAAAAAAAAAAUAAUAAGAAGAAUAAGAAAGUGAAAGAAGUACAUUUUAAACUCAAUACUCCGAAAAAAAGCUGAAAAUGAAUUACGCUCGAUGACUCAUAGCCAAAAAUACGCUACAAAGUCGCUCGAAUAAUAUUGAAUUAGCAAUUAGCACUGAAUACCUCGAAUAUUCUCGUGAAUACAAGAAAAGUGUCAGCGAAAUGUUGCAUAAAAAGUAGUUGGCCAUACAUAUACGAAAUUUCCAGAUUUGCAUAACACAACAACAGCGAAAAGAAAAAAAAUAUUAUAUAAAAAUUGGAAUUUUAUUAAAAAUUUAUGCAGUGCACGUAGAAACGGCAAGAAAGCGGAAAAUGGCGCGCAAAACUAAAUUUAAGCACACAAAUACAAAAACCCUCGCAAAAGGCUGGCAAGGCAACAACAUCCUUAUUGGCAGCAAAAGUUUACAAAAAACACAAAGGUAAUCAUCAUUACAAGCAUUUUAACUGAUUUUGCUUUUGUUGUUUUUUGCUUUUGUUGUUGUGCACACAAGAAGUUAUUGGCCGCGUUGUGGCAAAAAACGUCAAAGGCAUGUCGCGCCGUCGCACAGUCGCUACGCAAAACAAAUGAAGCGAAGCCAAUUGAAAUAAUUUAAUUUAUUGAAUAGCACACAUUUGACGCUGGCAAAGAGGUAAGGUGCAUGGGUAUAUGGAUAUUUAUAAAUAUAUGCGCUUCAAGUAAUAUAUAUAACAACAACGGGCUAACAGCCGCCAUAUUGCAGCGACAUGCCACAAGCAAGCUCAGAGGCUUUUAAAUAUGUAUAUGUGUGAGUGAGUGUGUGCUUUUAAAUUGUUUGUCGCCGUCAUUUGCGCCAGCAACAACACAAAAGUGUCGUGCAGGUGACAGCUGAACAGCCGCAUAACGCUUGUAAGCUGCUUCCUUGCAUGUAUGUGGGUGUGUGUAUGUGUGUGUGGCAACACUAAAUAUAUUUUCACGACAUGGUCGAUUUGCAUGUGUUUGUGUGCAUGUCUGUGUGUGUCGCGUUCUUUUACGUUUGUGGCAUUUGUACGUGCAACUACUCAACAAUUUCCAGUCACGUUCGCGUACUUAUUGUUCCAGCAAUUUGUCUUCGUUCGCCACACACACACACACACACAUAUACCCUCUACAUCAACCAAACAACCAGCCAGGCUGCCGACAAUCAACCGCAAACCCCACUAAGUCCGUCGUCGCGUUUAAACAAAACAAUGCAAAAAGUAAGAGAAAAGCAAGAAGGAAAAGAAGCAGAAAACAAUCAGCCGUCAGUGGGAGGAGGUGAAAGAAAGGUGUUCGGAUUCUGACAAGCAGGCAGGCAGUAAAAACAAAAGCAUUUAAGUAAGUCUUUCGAAUGUGGCAGACGAAUGGCGAAUUGAAAGAGGCGCGCUCACGAAGCGACAAUAUAUGAAUCAGCGAUAGACAAUGCACGCGAGCGUGGAGGUCGUAGGUCAUGGCGCUGUGCUGCCAGCUAGCUUAUAUGGUAUGAGAAGAUUUUGUGUGACGCCGUUGCAAUUUCGCUAUGCGAUUUGCCUCCCACCACCAACCAACAACAACGCUUGUCAAUGUCACGGCAUGUUUUUCAGGUAUAUACCCAUACACGAUAACCGUGUAAUUCCGUUAGCGAAAGGCGGUCAAAACAUAAUGACCAUAAUAAUAUUAAACAAAUGCAAUGCAAACGUUUAUGAAAGGAAAGAAUGAAGCGCAAAUUGCUCGCUAACAAAGUUGUAAAAUGAAAAUGUUGAAAGAAUGUGGGUAAAAGUAAAAAUAAAAGAAAUUAAUAGGAAUAUUUUUGAAAGAAAUUUCAAGUGUUUUACAGAAUUAUUUUUUAAUGUCAAAUUUUGGACACUAUAAUCUUGCUUUCUAAAU